AUUGAACGCUGGCGGCAUGCUUUACACAUGCAAGUCGAACGGCAGCGCGGGCUUCGGCCUGGCGGCGAGUGGCGAACGGGUGAGUAAUACAUCGGAACGUGCCCAGUAGUGGGGGAUAGCUCGGCGAAAGCCGGAUUAAUACCGCAUACGACCUGAGGGGGAACGCGGGGGAUCUUCGGACCUCUCGCUCUUGGAGCGGCCGAUGGCAGAUUAGCUAGUUGGUGGGGUAAAGGCCUACCAAGGCGACGAUCUGUAGCUGGUCUGAGAGGACGACCAGCCACACUGGGACUGAGACACGGCCCAGACUCCUACGGGAGGCAGCAGUGGGGAAUUUUGGACAAUGGGCGAAAGCCUGAUCCAGCAAUGCCGCGUGUGUGAUGAAGGCCUUCGGGUUGUAAAGCACUUUUGGCGGGAACGAAAAGGACUGUGCCAAUACCACGGUUCGAUGACGGUACCCGCAGAAUAAGCACCGGCUAACUACGUG
rnacentral:rRNA from 1 species